rnacentral:tRNA from 1 species
UGCCGCCACGGGUGGGCUCGAACCACCAACUUUUCGGUUAACAGCCGAACGAGCUAGCCGAUUGCGCCAUGGAGGC